rnacentral:rRNA from 1 species
CGUAAUACAUGCAAGUCGAGCGGACAGAAGGGAGCUUGCUCCCGGAUGUUAGCGGCGGACGGGUGAGUAACACGUGGGUAACCUGCCUGUAAGACUGGGAUAACUCCGGGAAACCGGAGUUAAUACCGGAUAGUUCCUUGAACCGCAUGGUUCAAGGAUGAAAGACGGUUUCGGCUGUCACUUACAGAUGGACCCGCGGCGCAUUAGCUAGUUGGUGAGGUAACGGCUCACCAAGGCGACGAUGCGUAGCCGACCUGAGAGGGUGAUCGGCCACACUGGGACUGAGACACGGCCCAGACUCCUACGGGAGGCAGCAGUAGGGAAUCUUCCGCAAUGGACGAAAGUCUGACGGAGCAACGCCGCGUGAGUGAUGAAGGUUUUCGGAUCGUAAAGCUCUGUUGUUAGGGAAGAACAAGUGCAAGAGUAACUGCUUGCACCUUGACGGUACCUAACCAGAAAGCCACGGCUAACUACGUGCCAGCAGCCGCGGUAAUACGUAGGUGGCAAGCGUUGUCCGGAAUUAUUGGGCGUAAAGGGCUCGCAGGCGGUUUCUUAAGUCUGAUGUGAAAGCCCCCGGCUCAACCGGGGAGGGUCAUUGGAAACUGGGAAACUUGAGUGCAGAAGAGGAGAGUGGAAUUCCACGUGUAGCGGUGAAAUGCGUAGAGAUGUGGAGGAACACCAGUGGCGAAGGCGACUUUCUGGUCUGUAACUGACGCUGAGGAGCGAAAGCGUGGGGAGCGAACAGGAUUAGAUACCCUGGUAGUCCACGCCGUAAACGAUGAGUGCUAAGUGUUAGGGGGUUUCCGCCCCUUAGUGCUGCAGCUAACGCAUUAAGCACUCC